rnacentral:rRNA from 1 species
AUACGGAGGAUGCAAGCGUUAUCCGGAUUUAUUGGGUUUAAAGGGUGCGUAGGCGGUUUGCUAAGCGGGAGGUGAAAUGCCGGCGCUCAACGUCGGAAGUGCCUCCCGAACUGGUGGACUUGAAUGACUCUGCCGUGGGAGGAAUGUGUAGUGUAGCGGUGAAAUGCUUAGAGAUUACACAGAACACCGAUUGCGAAGGCAUCUCACGAAGGGUUGAUUGACGCUGAGGCACGAAAGCGUGGGGAUCAAACAGGAUUAGAUACCCUGGUAGUCCACGCAGUAAACGAUGAUGGCUAACCGCUGGAUCCAUCGGUUCAGUGGCCAAGCGAAAGCGAUAAGCCAUCCACCUGGGGAGUACGACCGCAAGGUUGAAACUCAAAGGAAUUGGCGGGG